UAGUACGAGAGGACCGGGACGGACCGACCCCUCGUGUACCGGUUGUUCCGCCAGGGGCAGCGCCGGGUAGCGACGUCGGGACGGGAUAACCGCUGAAAGCAUCUAAGUGGGAAGCCCCCCUCGAGAUGAACACUCCCAGUGCGUAAGCACUCGGAAGGGCCGUGCGAGACGAGCACGUCGAUAGGCGGCAGGUGGACGCGGUGUGAGCCGUGGAGCCGAGCCGUACUAAUCGCCCGAGAGGCUUGACCGG
rnacentral:rRNA from 1 species